UUUUCAUGCUUCAAUGAAACCUAAGGUGUAAUGAAAGACCCCCGAAGGGAGACCCUCACUCAGGCCUCGGGACAGCUGCGGACCCAAGAAGGCACUGAGACCG
rnacentral:pre_miRNA from 7 species